AUGUUUGUUAGGCAUAAAGAGAAAGAUAAUUUUCAUGUGAGGCUGCAAGUUGAUGUGCUUGAGCAGGCAUUUGGACCUAGGAUGGCGGGUGCAACAUCUCAGGGAGAAUCAAUUCGUCGUAAUGGCAUCUCUAGCCAGAACAGUUCAGUUGGUGCACGGCGACGUGGUGGCUCGACAAGUGUGGGCAACAGCAGUAGGGUCCCCCUUGAAGUGGAGCCUGAUGGCUACAAUUCUGGGGUUGAUGAAGAGAAGUUAUAUUCUGAUGUUAUUCAGAAUUUACGACGGGCACCUCGGGCUGAAAACCAAGAUGAGGCUCACAAUGCAGUCCGUGUGGAUGAUGACGCGAUGGGUGAGGACGAAGACCUUGCAGCUGUUGAAUGGGACCCUUUGAACCCUCAAAUGGAAGAAGGUACAGUUUUUGCAUCCAUGAAUAAGUGUAGAAAUGCACUUGUGACAUACUGCAUCAAGGUAGAAUGUACUUUCAAAGUUGGCAAGAGCGAUCAAGUACGUUACAGAGUGCACUAUCCGACUGAGGGUUGUCCAUGGAGGCUGCUUGCAUCUAAAAUGCGGAAUAGCACUAAUGUUCAGGUCAAAGUGAACCCUUUUAAGCACACAUGCUAG
rnacentral:rRNA from 1 species